UACGUAGGGCGCAAGCGUUGUCCGGAAUUAUUGGGCGUAAAGAGCUCGUAGGCGGUCUGUUACGUCCGCUGUGAAAACCCAGGGCUUAACCCUGGGCUUGCAGUGGAUACGGGUAGACUAGAGGCAGGUAGGGGAGAAUGGAAUUCCCGGUGUAGCGGUGAAAUGCGUAGAUAUCGUAAGGAAGACCAGUGGCGAAGGCGGGUCUCUGGACAGUUCCUGACGCUGAGGCACGAAGGCCAGGGGAGCAAACGGG
rnacentral:rRNA from 1 species